rnacentral:rRNA from 1 species
GAUGAACGCUAGCGGCAGGCUUAACACAUGCAAGUCGAGGGGCAGCAUAAUGGAUAGCAAUAUCUAUGGUGGCGACCGGCGUACGGGUGCGUAACGCGUAUGCAACCUACCUUUAACAGGGGGAUAACACUGAGAAAUUGGUACUAAUACCCCAUAAUAUCAUAGAAGGCAUCUUUUAUGGUUGAAAAUUCCGAUGGUUAGAGAUGGGCAUGCGUUGUAUUAGCUAGUUGGUGGGGUAACGGCUCACCAAGGCGACGAUACAUAGGGGGACUGAGAGGUUAACCCCCCACACUGGUACUGAGACACGGACCAGACUCCUACGGGAGGCAGCAGUGAGGAAUAUUGGUCAAUGGACGCAAGUCUGAACCAGCCAUGCCGCGUGCAGGAUGACGGCUCUAUGAGUUGUAAACUGCUUUUGUACGAGGGUAAACGCAGAUACGUGUAUCUGUCUGAAAGUAUCGGACGAAUAAGGAUCGGCUAACUCCGUG